rnacentral:lncRNA from 1 species
CAUGAUAGCCUUUGGUUUAGGGUUUGGUAACAUAUGUUAUAAUAUUGUUGGUAUUUUUGUGGUUAGAUUUUGAACUAAACUUUUUAUUUUAUUUUUAAUUUGAAAUUUAUGUGUGUUAGUGACUAUCUAAUAACUUUAUUUAAAGACUUUUCUAAGUUUCUUUUAAGUUUAAGGAAGUGUUUUUGCUUAGUUAUUUGAUUAUAGGGUUUGGAAGACUCCUAAAUGACUUUAAUUUAGGGUUUUGUAACAUAUAUUAUAGUAUUGUUUGUAUUUAGGUUAGAUUUUGGAAUCUUAAUUUAAAAAAAGUUAACC